GGAAGGUGCGAGCGUUAAUCGGAAUUACUGGGCGUAAAGCGCGCGUAGGCGGCUAGAUAAGUCGGGUGUGAAAGCCCCGGGCUCAACCUGGGAACUGCAUUCGAUACUGUCUGGCUAGAGUGUGAUAGAGGGAGGCGGAAUUCCGCAUGUAGCGGUGAAAUGCGUAGAGAUGCGGAGGAACACCAAUGGCGAAGGCAGCCUCCUGGAUUAACACUGACGCUGUGGUGCGAAAGCGUGGGGAGCAAACAGGAUUAGAUACCCUGGUAGUCCACGCCCGUAAACGAUGUCAACUAGCCGUUGGGAGCAAUUUGGCUCUUGGUGGCGCAGCUAACGCGAUAAGUUGACCGCCUGGGGAGUACGGUCGCAAGAUUA
rnacentral:rRNA from 1 species